GAUGAACGCUGGCGGCGUGCCUAAUACAUGCAAGUCGAGCGAACAGACGAGGAGCUUGCUCCUCUGACGUUAGCGGCGGACGGGUGAGUAACACGUGGAUAACCUACCUAUAAGACUGGGAUAACUUCGGGAAACCGGAGCUAAUACCGGAUAAUAUAUUGAACCGCAUGGUUCAAUAGUGAAAGACGGUUUUGCUGUCACUUAUAGAUGGAUCCGCGCCGCAUUAGCUAGUUGGUAAGGUAACGGCUUACCAAGGCAACGAUGCGUAGCCGACCUGAUAGGGUGAUCGGCCACACUGGAACUGAGACACGGUCCAGACUCCUACGGGAGGCAGCAGUAGGGAAUCUUCCGCAAUGGUCGAAAGCUUGACGGAGCAACGCCGCGUGAGUGAUGAAGGUCUUCGGAUCGUAAAACUCUGUUAUUAGGGAAGAACAAAUGUGUAAGUAACUAUGCACGUCUUGACGGUACCUAAUCAGAAAGCCACGGCUAACUACGUG
rnacentral:rRNA from 1 species